rnacentral:lncRNA from 1 species
CACAUAUAUUAGGUACAUCCCUGAAUUUCCUACAAUGGAAAGAAAAGGUGCUCCUUUAAACAAUUAUAAUAACUGGAACUAGGAAGAAAAUAUCUGAACAUGGAGAGGAAAAUAUGAAAGAAAAAGACUAUGAGUCAUGUCAUGACUUCACCAUUAUAUUGAUGAUCAGCUGGCUCCUAUGCAGACUUAGCCAUACUACAGAGAGCUAUCAAGGGUUGCCUCUGGGAUCUUCAGAGACACAUCACAGAAAUUCAGCUCCUCUUUCGUCAAGAAGCUCUUUAACAGGGGAAGCAUGUUCAUCUCUACCAUGAAAUUGACACAAACCAAAGAUGUUAGCAUAAUUCAUAGGAAUGAUUCUUUUCUGAAGGACAUAUAACAAUUUAAAGGUAAGCUUUAAAAUAUU